rnacentral:rRNA from 1 species
CCUACGGGCGGCAGCAGUGAGGAAUAUUGGUCAAUGGGCGGGAGCCUGAACCAGCCAAGUCGCGUGAGGGAAGAAGGUACUGAGUAUUGUAAACCUCUUUUGCCAGGGGACAAAGGCGGCCACGGGUGGCCGUAAGAGGGUACCUGGAGAAAAAGCAUAGGCUAACUCCGUGCCAGCAGCCGCGGUAAUACGGGGGAUGCGAGCGUUAUCCGGUUUUAUUGGGUUUAAAGGGGGCGCAGGCGGCGUGUCAAGUCAGCGGUAAAGUGUAGGGGCUCAACCCAGGCCGGCCGUUGAAACCGGGGUGCUCGAGUGGGAGAGAGGUAUGCGGAAUGCGUGGUGUAGCGGUGAAAUGCAUAGAUAUCACGAAGAACCCCGAUUGCGAAGGCAGCAGACCGGCUCCACACUGACGCUGAGGCACGAAAGCGUGGGUAGCGAACAGGAUUAGAUACCCCAGUAGUC